rnacentral:rRNA from 1 species
UACGUAGGGUGCAAGCGUUGUCCGGAAUUAUUGGGCGUAAAGAGCUCGUAGGCGGUUUGUCGCGUCUGCUGUGAAAACUCGGGGCUUAACCCCGGGCCUGCAGUGGGUACGGGCAGACUAGAGUGCGGUAGGGGAGAACGGAAUUCCCGGUGUAGCGGUGAAAUACGCAGAUAUCGGGAGGAACACCGGUGGCGAAGGCGGGUCUCUGGGCAAUAACUGACGCUGAGGAGCGAAAGCGUGGGGAGCGAACAGG